AUGUUGAGAACACGCAACUCAGUUCCGUACAGCGAGAGCUCUGCAAUGGCAGCAAGAGGGAAUCAGCCUCGGCCACCACAAAAGAAAACCCGCCCCUGGUGUGAUUGUUCAAAGGCAAGGAGGGCAGAGGUAACACAUCAUUUAACAAUCAAGAAGCUGAGAUAUACUCUAACUCAUCUCUUUUUAGCAAAGAACAAAUGGAGGCUCUUCAAAAACUCUUUUAGCAAACCAUGUUAA